AGUCGAGCGAACGGACGAGAAGCUUGCUUCUCUGAUGUUAGCGGCGGACGGGUGAGUAACACGUGGAUAACCUACCUAUAAGACUGGGAUAACUUCGGGAAACCGGAGCUAAUACCGGAUAAUAUUUUGAACCGCAUGGUUCAAAAGUGAAAGACGGUCUUGCUGUCACUUAUAGAUGGAUCCGCGCUGCAUUAGCUAGUUGGUAAGGUAACGGCUUACCAAGGCAACGAUGCAUAGCCGACCUGAGAGGGUGAUCGGCCACACUGGAACUGAGACACGGUCCAGACUCCUACGGGAG
rnacentral:rRNA from 1 species